CCCUUAGAUGUUCUGGGCCGCACGCGCGCUACACUGAUGCAUUCAACGAGUCUAAAACCUGCUCUGAUAGGGGUGGGUAAUCUUUUGAAUGUGCAUCGUGAUUGGGAUAGAUGAUUGCAAUUUUUCAUCUUCAACGAGGAAUGCCUAGUAAACGCAAGUCAUCAGCUUGCAUUGAUUACGUCCCUGCCCUUUGUACACACCGCCCGUCGCUCCUACCGAUUGAAUGGUCCGGUGAAAUCUUCGGAUUGCUGACCAAGAUCCAGCAAUGGAGCUUGGUUGCGAGAAGUUGAUUAAACCUUAUUAUUUAGAGGAAGGAGAAGUCGUAACA
rnacentral:rRNA from 1 species